CCUACGGGUGGCAGCAGUCGAGAAUCAUUCACAAUGGGGGAAACCCUGAUGGUGCGACGCCGCGUGGGGGAAUGCAGGUCUUCGGAUUGUAAACCCCGUUCAUGAGGGAGCAAAUUAAAAAGAUAGUACCACAAGAGGAAGAGACGGCUAACUCUGGGCCAGCAGACGCGGUAAUACAGAGGGCUCAGGCUGUGUUCGGAAUCACUGGGCGUAAAGCGAGCGUAGGCUGUUUCGUAAGUCGUGUGAGAAAGGCGCGUGCCCAACCCGCGGACGGCACAUGAUACUGCGAGACUAGAGUAAUGGAGGGGGAACCGGAAUUCUCGGUGUAGCAGUGAAAUGCGUAGAUAUCGAGAGGAACACUCGUGGCGAAGGCGGGUUCCUGGACAUUAACUGACGCUGAGGCACGAAGGCCAGGGGAGCGAAAGGGAUUAGAUACCCGAGUAGUC
rnacentral:rRNA from 1 species